rnacentral:rRNA from 2 species
AUAACGACUCUCGGCAACGGAUAUCUUGGCUCUCGCAUCGAUGAAGAACGUAGCGAAAUGCGAUACUUGGUGUGAAUUGCAGAAUCCCGUGAACCAUCGAGUCUUUGAACGCAAGUUGCGCCCAAAGCCAUUAGGCCGAGGGCACGUCUGCCUGGGCGUCACAC